CAGUAGCCACGGUAAUACGGAGGGUGCAAGCGUUAAUCGGAAUUACUGGGCGUAAAGCGCACGCAGGCGGUUUGUUAAGUCAGAUGUGAAAUCCCCGAGCUUAACUUGGGAACUGCAUUUGAAACUGGCAAGCUAGAGUCUUGUAGAGGGGGGUAGAAUUCCAGGUGUAGCGGUGAAAUGCGUAGAGAUCUGGAGGAAUACCGGUGGCGAAGGCGGCCCCCUGGACAAAGACUGACGCUCAAGUGCGAAAGCGUGGGGAGCAAACAGGAUUAGAUACCCCUGUAGUCCUGUCUCUUAUACA
rnacentral:rRNA from 1 species